AAGAAAUUAGUUAAUUUUUUAUAAUUUUGACUUGUCAUGUCUAAGUAAUCUUCAAGAUAUUUCUUA
rnacentral:tRNA from 1 species